rnacentral:rRNA from 1 species
UACGAAGGGGGCUAGCGUUGUUCGGAAUUACUGGGCGUAAAGCGCGUGUAGGCGGUUAUCCAAGUCGGGGGUGAAAGCCUUGAGCUUAACUCAAGAAAUGCACUCGGUACUGGGUGACUAGAGGACCGGAGAGGAUAGUGGAAUUCCCAGUGUAGUGGUGAAAUACGUAGAGAUUGGGAAGAACACCAGUGGCGAAGGCGGCUAUCUGGACGGUUUCUGACGCUAAGACGCGAAAGCGUGGGGAGCAAACAGG